rnacentral:rRNA from 1 species
UCUGAUAGUCAUACCACCCUAAAUGCGCCUGAUCUUGGAAGCUAAGCAGGGCCAGUCCUAGUUAGUACUUGGAUGGGAGAUUGCCUGGAAGACUGUGUGUAAUAGGCA